rnacentral:rRNA from 1 species
UACAGAGGUGCCAAGCGUUAGGCGGAAUUAUUGGGCGUAAAGAGCGUGUAGGCGGCCAGAUAAGUCCGCUGUGAAAUCUCGAGGCUCAACUUCGAGCUGUCGGUGGAAACUAUCUGGCUAGAGUCCGGAAGAGGAGAAUGGAAUUCCUGGUGUAGCGGUGAAAUGCGCAGAUAUCAGGAAGAACACCCGUGGCGAAGGCGGUUCUCUGGGACGGUACUGACGCUGAGACGCGAAAGCGUGGGGAGCGAACGGG